rnacentral:rRNA from 1 species
CGGGUCGUAAAACUCUGUCCUCAAGGAAGAUAAUGACGGUACUUGAGGAGGAAGCCCCGGCUAACUACGUGCCAGCAGCCGCGGUAAUACGUAGGGGGCUAGCGUUAUCCGGAUUUACUGGGCGUAACGGGUGCGUAGGCGGUCUUUCAAGUCAGGAGUGAAAGGCUACGGCUCAACCGUAGUAAGCUCUUGAAACUGGGAGACUUGAGUGCAGGAGAGGAGAGUGGAAUUCCUAGUGUAGCGGUGAAAUGCGUAGAUAUUAGGAGGAACA